AACGAACGCUGGCGGCAUGCCUAACACAUGCAAGUCGAACGAGACCUCCCGGUCUUGUGGCGCACGGGUGCGUGACGCGUGGGAAGUUGCACUUAGGUUCGGUAUACCUCCCCGAAAGGGGUCUUCAUGCCGGUUAAUCUCUUAGCACCAAAGAUGUCUCGCCUUUGGAUGGGCCCGGGUUGGUUUCGCCGGUUGGUAGGGUAAAAGCCUAUCAAUGCCACGAUCCAUAGCUGGUCUGUGAGGAGGAUCAGCCACGCUUGGGCUGAGACACGGCCCAGACUGCUACGGGAGGGAGGAGAGUGGUAUAUAGGACAAGGGGCGAAAGUCUGAUCAAGCAACGCCGGGUGAGUGAGGAAGGCCGUAGUGUUGUAAAGCUCUUUUAGCCGAGGUGAUAAUGACAGUACCGGGUGAAUAAGCACCGGCUAACUCCGUG
rnacentral:rRNA from 1 species